ACAACUUGUAGAGAAUACAAAAAACACUGCUCUGGUCAUUUGCUCUCUUUCCCCCCUCUUAUUCUGGAUGGCUCUCUGCUUGAAGAGUGCAUGAGUAGUAUUCAGUAUUGCUUGCCUAGCUCAGGGUCACAUAUGUCACCUCCUUAAGAAUGCCAAAAAUGCAGACACCUGACCAUGAACACAGAGUUGUGUUCACAGUUUCACAGACCCCUGAGUUGACUAGAACUUCAAGAAACUUACCUGUAGAGGUCCUAAUCAAAUCUUGAUUUGUUGGAAGGACUGCAAAGUCUUUCAAUCUAAUUGGGCUGUUAACGGGCUUUUAAACAGACUUAGGAACUGUCCUCUGAGAGUUCCUUUCCAGGCGGGAGGAAGGAAUCUGCAUGCAGCCGAGUGACAAGACUUGGACAAAAACACACAUCUGAGUGGGUGUUGUGAUGCACGGGUGCAGCCACACUGCUCGGGAUGCCUGCAUCCUAUACCAGGGUGCCUGGGAUCAAAUUCUGUCUUUGCUUCUGAUCCAGCUUCUGGCAAAUGCACCUGGGAGACAACGGUUGAUAGCCCAAGUACUUGAGUUUCUGCCAGUAUGGGAGACCUGGACGGAAUUCCUGUCUCUUGGCUUUGGCCUGGCCCAGCUCUGGUUGUUCUGGGCAUUUGGGGAGUAAACCCGUGGAUGGAAGAUCUCUCUCUCUUUCUCUCUCUUUUUCUCUCUCUAUGUAUGUAUGUCUCCUUCUUUCUGUCAUUCUACCUUUCAAAUAAAUAACUAAAUAUUUUUAAAACCACAUAUGAAGUAAACAUAAGACAUAUAAACAGUCUAUUUUAUUAUGGAUGAUGUGUAUGCGGACGGGGGGGAUUGGGUAUAUUGGGGGUUUCACACAGAGCUGUCAUGGGGCCAGGAGAGUUGGCUUCUGAUAUCUUUGUAAAUGAGGAAGCAGGAAGUGCUUUAUACAACACAAACAUCAUGACUUACCAGUUCUUUCUGAUUUUAUAGAUGUAGAAUUGGAAUAAAUGCACCAAUUUGACUACCAAGCAGGCAGUUAAUGGAAGUGUCUUAACCACAAGCCAACCAAAAAUGCCAACAUCUGUUUGCAGCAAGAAUUGAAAGACUGAGUGGAUGGAGAUAUUUACCCAACUGGAACAGGUUGAUUUUGGAGGGCAGGGCUCCCUAGGCCAUGUACUUUGAAUGCCACUCUCUCUCUUUCAUAACAUUAAUAAUACUUUUUAUUAUAUAUAACAUAUAAAAAUUUACUUCAUGCCAGACUUUGUGCAAAGCAUUUUAUACACAUUCUCUCUCCUUUAAAAAUUUAUUUAUUUACUUGAAAGAGUUAGAGAGAAGGAGACACAGAGAAAGAGAGAUCAUCCAUCUGUUGGUUCACUCCCCAAAUGGCUGCAAUGGCUGGAGCUGGGCUGAUCCAAAGCUAGGAGCCAGGAGCUUCAUCUGGGACUCCCACAUGGGUGCAAGGGCCCAAGCACUUGGGCCAUCUUCCACUGCUUUCCCAGAUGCAUUAAUAGAGAGCUGGAUCAGAAGUGGUGCAGCUGGGAUUCAAACUGGUGCCCAUUUGGGUUGCUGGCAUUGAAGGCAGAAGCUUAACCCAUUAAGCAAUAGUUUCUUUUUUUUUUUUUCUAAAAGGACACCAGUCCUCUUGGAUUAAGGGUCCACUAUACUCCAUUAUGACUUCAUCUUAACUAAGUAUAUCUGCAGCAGCACUUUUCAAAACAAGGGCACAUUCUCAGGUGCUCAGGGCUAGGACUUCAUCAUGAAUUUUGGGAGACACAGUUCAACCCAUAAUACACUCAAGUGGUUGUUAGAAUGAUUAUAAUUCACAAUGCCUUCUUUAACCACCUUUACAUGGUACAUUUAUAACCAGAUUUUUCAGAUCCACACCAUUAUUUCUGUAGUCUUUCCAGGCCCGAUUUAAACCUGGAAAGAAAAUGCCUUCAGUUGGGCUGCUCUGUUCUCUGUGGGGUAGCCUGCUGCCUAGAACAGCAACAGGCAUUUGGCAGGCAUUUGGUGACUGCUUGGGGAUAAAUGAAGUCUCUUUCUUUCCUGCUCUUCCUUUUCUUUUUUUGAUGACUCAAUAGUAUCCUCAAUCCCUUAUUAUCUUUUCUAGAUUGCCAAAGUUUUGAAGGCAAAAGAAAAGAAACCAAACAUUUUCAUUUCCUUUGUUGAUAGCUAUUACUUCUGUGCUAACUGACCCGCUCUCCACAGUCAGUUAGACACCCGACCAGAUGGUAAAGGGCGGCAGGGGGCAGUGGCUGCGGGCAGAGUUGCCUGUGCUGGAGAGGGCAGGCGUCCACCCUGAGCAUCUCCUAAGGCUUGAUCUUGGUCAGGCCUGAGUUUGAAGCAAAUGAUACUUUACUCUGUGAGCCUGGGAGGAAACCAGUGAGGACUAUUGUUGGUUCUAAAGGUUAAGAGCCAGAUUCUGGCUCAAUAGACUAAUCCUCCACCUAGCGGCGCCGGCACACAGGGUUCUAGUCCCGGUCAGGGCGCUGGAUUCUUUCCCGGUUGCCCCUCUUCCAGGCCAGCUCUCUGCUGUGGCCAGGGAAGGCAGUGGAGGAUGGCCCAAGUGCUUGGGCCCUGCACCCCAUGGGAGACCAGGAGAAGCACCUGGCUCCUGGCUUCGGAUCAGUGCGAUGCGCCGGCCGCAGCGCGCUGGCCGCGGCGGCCACUGGAGGGUGAACCAACGGCAAAAGGAAGACCUUUCUCUCUGUCUCUCUCUCUCACUGUCCACUCUGCCUGUCAAAGAAAAAAAAAAAAAGGAGCCAGAUUCUAAAUGAGGAGUCACCAAGCUGGACAGGUAAAGGGAUUUAUUUGGUCCCCAGAAAGGUGUGAUGCACACCCUCUUCAUCUGAUGCAAUGGGUCCCAUGUUCAGAAGGCAUCAGUUAAGACACAAAUGAGCCGAUCACUGGAAUCAGAUAGUUCCUGGUCUGAAAGUGUGUCAGGGGCCCCAUACAACUUGGACUCUGGAAAAAAUUGCAAUGUGAAAUGUGGCGAGAGGAUGCUCUGUAUUCUAGAGACCUAAAGGUGAGCUGUCAGAUGCCAAAGAGCUCUGUUGUGGUCUCUGGAUCCAACCCCCCACCUCUCCCCAAAAAGAAGUGGCAAAGAACAAUACAAUUAAUUAUAAAAGAUCCUAUUAAUUCCUGACUGGCUGGCAUCGCAUGUGUACAUCUGUAUCUAUCCAUCCACCUACCUAUUUUCUCACAGCUGAAGAACCGAGGUUACAGUUGUGCACAGGUCUGGCAAAAACCAGGAAGGGUGCAGGUUGGGUGGAGAAUGGGAUACACAUGAGGGCACAUGGGGUGCAUAAAGGGGCAGUUGAAAUUCACUUUGUGUCUAUUGUUAACCUUUGGGGUUGGGAAGGGAGUAUCAGCUCACCCUUCCUCAGCCUUCCUUCCUUCCUUCCUUCCUUCCUUCCUUCCUUCCUUCCUUCCUUCCUUCCAAGAUUUGACUGGUUAUCUAAUUUGAUUAAAAAAAGCUUUUCACUAUGGUAAAUUCCAAAAAGAUGUGAAAAUAUCCCUCAGGUUUAACAGCCAUCACUCCAAAGCCAUCUUGACACUUCUAUAUAGUUCUACUUGCUCCUUCUAGCCUCAUUGACUAAGUUGUAAGAUAUAAUGAAAACAUGACUCUUUAGCUUCAGGUACAAUGUUAGGUUCAUGGAGCAUAUUUCUUUUUAUGUAUUAAAAAUUCACUUAGUUUCUGAGUAAUAUGUAGGGUAAUAGGUGAUUUCUCCUUAUAUUAUGGAGGAAGAAUUUGGAGACCAAUAAAAAUAUUUGGGGAACAUGGGUCAGUGGAGGGUGAAUAAAUUGCAGUUUCCAGAGUUUGAGAUCUGAGAGGAUGGGGUAGGAGGUGCAAAGAGAAAGGUAGAGAAAAGGAGGUGGAGAGGGACCAUCCAGGUAAAGCAGCUGAGCACAGACGAGGUGGCAGGGUUGGUGGUACAGAUCUGGGAUCAGUCCCCAAAGCCUGGCAAUAUUAACUGGUGCAGCCAGAGGGAACAUGCAGAGAAGGGCACCUGGAUCUGAACUGACCUGGGCAGUGUAAACCACUGCUAGAAAGGAGAAGGAGGGGAUAUCCAGGGGAACAAAGCAAAGGCAGUCUGAGUCUCUGCUUUUUGAAGCUAGGGACACUUACAAAGAAAGAAGAAAACUAUUAUUUGAAAGAGCGGUAAGGAGGGAGAGAGUGUUCCCACCUGCUUGUUCACACCCCAGGUGCCUGCAGCAUCCAGGAUUAGGCUGGGUAAAAGCUGAGAGCCAGGAACUCAAUCCAGGUCUUCCAUGGGAGUGGCGGGAACCCAAUCACUUGAGUUACUACUGCUGCCUUCUGGGGUCUACAUUAGCAGGGAGCUAGAGUCAUGAGUUGGAGCUGGGACUUGAACCCAGGCACUCUGAUAUGGGUUGUGAACCUUUUAACCAGUACCUUAAUCACUAGGUCAAAAGUCUGCCUCAGUGGGUCUACUUUUGUUGAAGAUGUAUUAUAUGUUGGGCACUUGACAUGCAUCAUUUCACUGAAUUAUCUCUGUAGUCUUACAAGGGAAGUAUACUUUUAGCUUCACUUUAUGAUUGAGGAAACUGAGGCAUUGACCGCUUUGGAAAACUAGCCCAAGAUCACAUGACUACUAAGAGGAGUUGGGCUCUGUGCUUAAGCUGUUUGAGUUGAUAGUCUCCACACUUAACCACCAUGCUAAUCUGCCAGCCAGCCUGGAGCAGCCUGGAGCAGCCAGACUGGUGAAGAACAGUCACUGAGGCUCUGAUUCAGAGGGAGUGCAGUGGACUGCUGAGGGUAGAAGUCACACAAGUCACCACACAGAAUCAUCAGUACAGACCAGUUCAUCCAAGAGAUUGUCCUUGGCAGAGAGAAGAGAGGUGGGCAGACUGGAUUACUGGUUGGGUUGACUAAUUUUCGUCAAAUUUCCUGGGUUAAGGGAUGCCCAGAGAGCUGGUUACACAUUAUUUAUGGGUGUAUCUGGAGGGUGUACCUGGAAGACAUGAGAAUUUGAUGCAGUGAACUGACUAAAGAGGAUCUGCCCUUACCAUUGUCCAAUGCAUUGGGGGCCCAGAUAGAAGAAGAUGGAGCAGAAGAGUGGCUGAAAUGGCUUUGCUCUGUCUGUGUCUGAGCUGGGCCGUCUGUCUUGUCCUGCCUUUGGGUAUUGGAAUUCCUGGUUCUUGGGCUUUUGAAGUCUGGGGAUGAUGUUAAUGCUGUCCACUCUCCCCCAGCUUGUGCAGUUCUCAGGCCCUUGGCCUCGGACUAAAUUAUACUUCUGGAUUUCCUGCUUUGAAUAAUUGUGUGAGCCAACUGCCAUUGUAAAUCUCUUAUCUUCCUGAGUAAGUAUGUGUGUGUCUAUCCUGAUGGCUCCAUUUCUCUGGGGAAUGCUGACUCCAAUGGCCCUAGGAGAAGGCAGAGGGUGGACCUAGGGAGAGAGCUGGAAUAGACAGUUUUUGGUGUGGGUGGAGGAGCUCAGAGUCUGGGUAGGCAGGCAACCACCUCCUCUUCCGAGUUUUCCAGAUAGGCAGAGAGGUGCUGCAGGGGAGCAGGAGGGGAUGAAAUGUGUUGGAUUUCGUCAUAAUGAGGGAAGUGAAGACCUAGUCAUCAUGUCAAGGUACAGAGGGUGGGGUCUGUGAGAAAUGAACACCUGGAUCUGCUGGGAUGGACAAAGUGGGAUGGCAGACUCCUGGAACUGCCUAGAAGGGUUUAACCUGGGCACCAGAAAAGCAUGCAGUUACAUUUUGAACUUCUUCAACAGUGACUCAGGGUGGCCCUGGGGAGGUCAGUGAGGGCAGGUGGAGGCCUGGAAAUCUGAUAAGAACUGCUCCUUGAUGGCUUCCCCCUCCCUCUGCCAUCUGUGUGGCUGGAGUGCAGGGUGCGACAGAAGAGAGGUGGUUUGGAAGCAGGAGGCAGGGAACUGACAUCCCUACCUUCCCCAACAUUCUUUCACUGGUCAGGCAACAGCAUAGUGAGCUCAGGUGGCAGGAGGCAGAUGUGGGGCUCUCCUCCCAAGAACAAGGGGUGUCCCAGGCCCAGGGCUGGUCACUGAGCAUGGCAGAGAGGUGACUGGUGGGGACCCAGUGACCACACAUGUCCAAGCCCUUCUUCUACACCUGCUCCUGGGAAGUGUGGGGCAUGUUCAGGAGCUCUAUGCUCUCAGCCUUGCUGUCUAGUGGGGGAGCUGUCCAGGCUAAGAUUUGGUAAGGAUUCUAGAGGUUCUUGAGAAGGGAAAAGACACACUCGUAUCACCUCCAUUUAUUUCAACAGUUGAGAGAAGGUGAUUUUGUUCCAGGCCAGAGACUGUAUGUAAGAUCAGACCUAGUUCUUGCUCUGCAGAAGCUUGUAGAGCUGAACUAGGUAUAAGACUAGAACCCAGGGAACACAGCACAGGGCAGGUGAGAGUGAGGGGAGACAUAUGUGUCUCCAGCAGUUCAGUGUUUAGGAAAAGGAAUUGAGAACCACACACAAAUAAUUCCAUUUGCAUUUUAUUUACCUCUGUACCUGAGGGCAGGUGGGUGGGUGGGAGGAAGAGAGAGAGGGAGAGAGAGAGGGAGAGAGAGAUCUUCAUACACUUGUUCCUUUCCCAACAACGCAAUGCCCAACACUUGGUUUUAUGAGACUGAGAGUUGGGACCUUAAUCCAGGCAUGUGGCUGGCUGGGACCCAAGUACUUGAGCCAUCACCACAGCCUCCCAGGGUCUACAGUAGCAGGAGGCUGGAUUCAGUGCCUAGAGUUGAGACUUGAAGCAAGGUACUCUGAUGUGGGAUGUUGGCAUCUUAAUUGGUGACUUAAGCAUUAGGCCCAAAGCCUGCCCCUUCCAUUAGAAUUUUGUGGAUGCUUGGGAUGUCAAAUCUUGCUUCAUUACUGUAGUUUUAAGUUUCCUUAAGAUUACAUCUAGAACUGGAUGGGAAAGAGAUUUUUCAUCACACUUGGGCUUAUAUUCAAUAAGAACAACAAAUGCUGAAAGGAUAUUCUUAGGUGCAAAAUUACCUGGUUAAGGAAAAAAAGAGAAAGAAGGAGACCAAAGUACUGAAGGAUAGAGGAAAGACAGAGGGUGCCUGGAGAGAGUCUGCAGAGGGGACAGCGCCCUGGGCAGGAGGCUUGGUGGUAUCGGAAGAGAAUGCUGUGCACAAGUCACUCACCUGCUGGGUGUGCAGCUUCCUGUGUCAUCUCUUGUGCACUCUGUAUGAAGUCUCUAACCCCUGAGCCUUCAGAGUAGGACUCUAAGAUUCAUGUUCACAUCCUGUGGGGUUUUUGAAGAAUCUGGAGUUGUUGUGUGUGUCAUGUGUGUGUGUGCAAAAGAAAGAAAUGAAAGCGUUGAGUCAGAGCAAAUGAUUGAUUGAGUGAGUGAGUGAGAGAUAGAGAUAGAGAUAGAGAGAGAGAAGAGAGAGAGAGAGAGAGAGAGAGAGAGAGAGAGAGAGAGACAGGAAGACCCUGAUUCACUUCCCAAAGGGCUGCAUCAGCCAGGGCUGGGCCAGGCUGAAACCAGGAGCCCAGAAUUCCAUCCUGUUAUCCCACAUAGGUGGCAAAGGCCCAAGCACUUGAGCCAUCUGCAACUUUCCCAGGCGCAUUAGCAAGAAGCUGGACUGGAAGUGGAGUAGACGGAAUUUAAACCAGCACUCCAAUAUAGGAUGGUGACAUCGCAAGCAGCAGCUUAACCCACUGCACAACCGUGCCAGCCUCAGGAAUUGUCUCAUUUAAUCUUCCUCUCAAACUAAGAGGGUCUUGUGACACCUGCACUGUGAGUCCACAUACCCUGCUGGUACCCUUUCAACAGUCUCUGUCUUCCCUUGAACAAGCUGGAGAGAGGCUCUUUCCUUUGAAGCCAGAAGAGCCUUUACUGGAACAUCAUCAUGGAUUUUCUGACUUUGAGAGGUGUUUGGCUGUCAUGCACAGCCCCUUUUUUUCCCACCUUGCAGAGUGUUGGGACUGUGUGUCUUUGUGGAACGUCAGCUCUGCAAGAAGCUGCACGACAAGAAUUCACUCUCCAGCUUUCAUGCUAGACGUCUCUCACUCUUCGCGAGCACCAGCGGCAUCAAACGUCUCUCCUCUUGCUGGAGGUUGAACUUUUCUUCCCAUUGCUCUUGCCUUGUCCUCUGGGAGCCUGUAGCUUGACCUGGUUUCUCUCUAAAUUGACUGAGUUCUAGGAAACCAGAGAGCUUCUUUCCUGCAUCCCACACACUCUGAGUUUCUCAAGGGAAGGCUCUUUGGUAAGUAAUUUUUGUUUUAAAAGCUUCCAACCAUAUAUUACUCUUGCAAGAUGACUGAUAUUUUGAGUUUGUACCCCAUUCUUUUAAGAACCCUUCAUAUAGGGGCUGGUGCUGUGGUGUAGUAGGUUAAGCAUCUGCCUGCGGUGCCUGCUUCCCAUAUGGACACUGGUUUGAGUCCCAGCUGCUCCUCUUCUGAUCCAGCUCCCAGCUGAUGGCCUGGGAAAGCAGUGGAAGAUGGCCCAAGUGCUUGGAGUCCUGCAACCAUGUGAGAGACCUGAAAGAAGUUCCUGGCUCCUGGCUUUGGAUCAACCCAGCUCCAGCUGUUGUGGCCAUUUGGGGAGUGAACCACCAGAUGGAAGACCUCUCUGUAUCUGUUGCUCCCUCUCUCUGUCUGCAACUCUGACUCUCAAGUACAUAAAUAAAUCUUCCAAAAAAAAAAAAAACCCAUCAUACAUUCAUAGAGAUCACCGCUUCGGCUCUCCUGACAAUACCUGUCUGGUUUAAGUGACCCCACAGUUUCAGCCUGGAGAUGGAGGCUCAGAGGAAGGCUGGCCAGCAGUAUAUGAUGAGGCAACGCAGAUUUGGAAACCUGGAGAGGAUGUCUCCUUCCCCCACUGCUGGGCUCUCUGCCAAGCUGCCAGCUUCAGACCCAAGCUCUUGGGCAGAACUCAUUUCAGAGUGAGUCAGAAACAUGAGGGAGUCUUGUUCACACGUGCCUGGCAAGGGCAAAGCCCCAAGGGAGAUGUUUCAAGGAGCCCUAUCAGGAUCUUGGGGAUAUUUUCUCUCCUCUACUAGGAAAGAGAGACCAUCAACGUGAAGGCUGCCCCUACUCCAGCCUGUGUGCAUGGAAGGGACUGAAAGAUAUCCUGGGACACUGUCUCCACGAGCAAGUUUAGUCUCUUUGGAGCAUGGGAUUGGGAGCCAUUCGUAACAGGUCCAAAGCAACCUUCUUCACUUUUAUGAACAGAUCUGCCAAGACAGCACCCACUAACCUGGACAUCUUUGGGAUAUUACCUUAGAAACCAGAAGGAGGGCUGGUGCUGUGGCAUAGCGGGUAAAGCUGCUGUCUGCAGUGUCAGCAUCCCAUAUGGGUGCUGGUUUGAGACCCAGCUGCUCCACUUCUGAUCCAGCUCUCUGCUAUGGCCUGAGAAGGCAGUAGAAAAUGGCCCAAGUCCUUGGGCCCCUGUACCUGCAUGGGAGACCCGGAAGAAGCUCCUGGCUCCUGGCUUUGGAUCAGCCCAGCUCCGACCAUUGCAACCAUAUGGGGAGUGAAACAGUGGAUGGAAGAUCUCUCUGCCUGUCUCUGCCUCUGCCUCUCUGUAACUCUGCCUUUCAAAUAAAUAAAUAAAUCUUUUUUUAAAGAAACCAGAAAGAGUAAUCUAAGCAACUUCUUUAAUUAUUCUAGCACUUGAGAAUUAAAGUUCUUCCAUGAGCCAAUACGUUCAGGCUUUUCUUAACCCAAACUUCCUCUCCCAGGACUUCAGUGGAAGGAGAGUCUAGAAUGGGUGAGAUAAUCACCUUCUAGCAUGCCAAAGGUCUUGACAUUCAGUGAAUUUGAGCACCUCUACGCCCCUAUCCUUUGAGUCAACAGCUACAUUCCUGAAUGAGAUCACAAGUACGACAGAGGAUGGAGGGCUUGGAAAAAGCCUGCUACUCCCUACGUCCUCAGUCCCGGGUAAGUUUCAGAUGGUGGUAUGAAAGCAGGAGGAAUUCACAGUGGAUUAAAGUUCGUGCUCCUGGCAGAGUGUCUACGUGCACCUAUGCAGGAGUCCUUCUGCGAGGGACUGAGAGGCAGACGCCGUAGGGCUGGGGAAGCCAGAUAAAAUCUAAGAUAUUCUCUUAAGUUCGUAUUUCAGAUAAACAACAAAUAAAUUUUAGUAUAAAUGUGUCCCAUGCAAGACUUGAGACCUAUUAGAAGCUAUUUGCUGUUUGUCUGAAAUUCAAAUUUAACUGGGUGGCCUGUAUUUUUGUUUGUUGAUUCUGGCAACUUCCCAGGGGGUGGGCACGGUCCCUGGCGCCUUCCGGUUUGUGUGCAGGUGGUGCACAUGUGCAUUUUCGUGUGAGCAGCUGGGUACCGGAGCCAGUAGGGAGGUUGUGCAUGUAAACUGUGAUUUUCAGAGGCCACAGCAUCUUGGGCAGAGUUCAUUUUAGCACUCUUACUUUUUGCAAAUGAUUCCACAAUUAUUAAUUUUCUAUUUCCAAACAUUUCUCAAGUCUUUGAAGAUCCUUGGAGAAUUCAAAAGUCUUCCCACCCCCAUCCCCCAAACUUGACCCAUUGAUGUUCUUCAUUAAAUUUCCCUCUAGGUCAUUUGGAAGAACGAUGCUAGCAGAGUUUUUUUUUUAAUUUAUUUUUAUUUAUAUUUAAGAAAGCUUUUAUUUAAUAAAUAUAAAUUUCAUAGGUACAGCUUUUGGAAUAUAGUGGUUCUUCAGCCCAUACCUGCCCUCCCACCCCCACUCCUGUCCCACUUCUUACUCCCUCUCCCAUCCCAUUCUUCAUUAAGACUCAUUUUAAUUAUCUUUAUAUACAGAAGAUCAACUCUCUACUAAGUAAAGAUUUCAGCAGUUUGUACCCACACAGACACACAAAGUAUAAAGUACUGUUUGAAGAUUGGUUUUACUGUUAAUUCUCAUAGUACAACUCAUUAAGGACAGAAGUCUUACAUGGGGAGCAAGUGCACAGUGACUCCUGUUGUUGAUUUAACAACUGACACUCUUAUUUAUGAUGUUAGUGAUCACCCGAGGAUCUCACGAGCUUCAGAGGCAAUGGAAGUCCACAAACUCAGUAGUGGAGUUCUUAGAGUAGUAUGCAGAUAGUUCCCUCUUUUUUUCUAUUAUUAUUUAGGACAGCUCUCUUCACAUUCCUCUUCCUUCCCUCUGAUGAGCCAUUGAGGAGAUAAACUAUGAAGCAGAAGCUGGAGGAGCUUAGGCAUGGUUAGGGAAAAAGAAAUCAAACCUUAGAGGUUCCAGCGCAAGAUAGAGGGGCAUCCAGCUAGGACCUUGCAGCUGCAGAGAGCAAAGACUCUGGGGCUAGGGCUCAGAGAAAUCUGGCCACGGUUGUGUCGGUCCUUUGCAGGUCUAGGAAUGAAGACUCCACACAGCUGGCUCUGGGUUGUGCAAAGGGAGUGGCAAGUGAAGGCUUUAGCCCCAAGCUAAAUCCCAGGGAAAGGAGCAUAGGCAGUAACACAGGUUGCAACAAACUCCAAGAGAUUGCCCAGAGCUCUUUAGCUGCCAAGGAAGAGUGGUAUAAGCUCAACUGCCAGUUGGGGUGUCUUUUUCUUCCUGUGCAAGGCAAAUUUGUCGUUGCUUGAUGCUAGUUGUCAGAGGACCAGGAUUCAGUAGUGUGGAGUGUGGGACGGGCGUGAGGAAGCAGGCUGGUUAGAAGUUGCAGCACUGGCAAGUUCUCCCUGUUUGCAUGGUAGGACAUGAACUCUGGAACCAACUGUUCCUGCAGCAUGUAGGGCCAGCAGCUGCUCCUCUCCUUCGUGGCUGCCUUCUCUGGGGAUGUGUGGUCUCAGCUCUCAUGCACACAGUCUACCUCAGAGAGGAACCACCUGGGCUGGGGGAGGCUGCUCAGCCCCACCAGUGUCUCAUUCCCUACAAAAUGGGCCCGGCUCUGGAUUCUGGUAAACCUGGGCUUAGUCAAGCUGGAGGACUUAAUCUGUUAGUGCAAGAGGUGGCUGCGGGGGUGGGGAGGCAGAGCUUCUGCUGGCUUCCCCGUGUCUCCUACUAACUGGCCGAGCCAGGUACCAGCCAGUUCUCAGCUCAUCCCAAGGCAGUUUCCUACUCUCUGCCACACCUUAAUUUCCCAUCUAGCUGAGCGAUGCAUCCCUUUGGCCUCAGUUUCUUCAUCUGUAAAGUGGGUGGUGCCUGAUCUGUCCCCCAGCCUCCAGCUAGGUCAUCCCUUGCUUCAGUCUGUGCUGAUGUAGAUUAGACUUAGAGUUAAGGAGCCCUUUGUAAAGACCUUAGGUGAUGUCCCUGAUAGUUACAUUUUCUUAAAUUUGGGGGCUCAUGAAGAUCUUGAGAUAUGAUCCUUUGGAAUGUCAAAGGUUUACUGCACAUUCCGCACAUUCUGCAUGAGGGUGCAUUCUUUGAACUGUGAGAAAUAACCAUUGCUUUUGAAGACCAUUGUGAAAGGGAGAAACCUACUCCCUGGAUCAUCAGCUCUCAAGGAUGCUGAUGGCUGAGCGAUGGUUUGGUGCUUGAAGGCAGAGAUUCUACACCAUGACCUCUGGAAGGUGCUUGCAGCAUGUGAUUCUUGCUCAGGGUGUGGGAGCGUGUUGCAGGAACCCAAAGAAGAGGAAGAGGAGGAGAGGGAAGAAGGAAGGGAGAACGGGGGAGGAGAAGAGAAAGGAGGGUGAAAGAGAAAACCGCACUGUCACCAAAAGUUGGAAAACUCCCUUUCAACUUCUCCCUUGUAAUUAGUGCUGCAGCUGGGGGCAAGAACUCCGGGUGAGUUACAACUUGUUGGGCUGCAGUGCUCAGGACGUGUAAGGCUGGCUCCGUGCUUGGUGGGGGAAAGCUCAGCUCUCAGAUGGGCCCUCCUCCCUCUCUGUCCUUUGUUUAAUUCCCUGCCUGGGAGGGGCUUCUGCAGGGCUUGAAACUCUUCAGCGUCCUCAGCCAAGAAGCCUCUCCCCUAGGGCUGGCCUGGAGAUCCUGGGGAGGCCUUGGCUGCAGCAGCUUUCUCUCCAUUAGCGAUGCAGGGGCCAACCCCCCUCCCCCCACCAUCACCACCAAGGUCUUGGAGCAGUGGAGAGGGCGCUGAGGGAGAAAGGAGGGGCCAGGCACCCACAGGGCAAGUGCAGUCUGGUUGGAUCUUCCCAGGCAGCAAGCCUCUUUGAAUCCCCAGAUUACCACUUGGGUAUCUGCUGCCUCUCUCAGCACUGCAGGCUCCUCUUGGUCAUGGACAAGGGCAAAUUCCUUGUCCUGUGGGUCCCUGGGGCAGUGUUCCUGAGUGCCCUGGUGAAGGGAAGCAGGGCUUCACACUCAGAUGCCUGGAUUGCAGUCCUCAUUCUCUGCUCACCUCCUGGGUAGCCUGUAACAAGUUACUUAAUUUCUCUACAUCUUGGUUUAUUCAUCCAGAAAAUGGGUAGAAUGGUCAUACACCUCCUUGAGAAGAUUGUCAGCCUAGCCUCUGGCACAGGAUGAGUGGAGAUACAAGCUUCUGUUGCGAUGGCUAUUGGGGGAGACCACAUGGGCUUUGUUUACCGACAGGCGAUGGCUAUUGGGGGAGACCACAUGGGCUUUGUUUACCGAUAGGCCACGUCUGCCUUCUUGUCUCACUCAGAGCCUGGUUUCAGCAGGGAGGACGGGAUUCUGGGCCAGUGAGAUCUUCCAGUUCUUAGCAGUUGGCGUGGCCUGCGGAGGUGGAGGUGGCUCUGCACUGACCCAGAACAGUCUACUGGGGAGGCUGCCUGGUGGUGGCUGUCCAGGAAGCAGAGGGUCCUAUGGGUGUUCCGGCUUGUACCCCGCCACUAGCUCAGUCAUUGCAUCUUCCCUACUUAUCCCAUCAGCUGUGUCUGGCACCAAGCAAGAGCUCAGCCCUCACUCCUGAGCAGUGUCCAUCAGCGGAGUGGCAAAGGUCAUGGAAGAACAGCGAGAUUCUUCAGGGUCAACCAUUCCCAUCUGGUGUAAUAGGCUUCUCCCACUAGGCAUGGCCUGGCCAACAGCCACAGCAACAGCUCUUUUCCUGAGAGCCUAUUGCAUUCUAGGCAUACUACACAUAGCUCUUACCUUCCCAGCAACUUUGAAAUAAGGGUAAUUAUUCCCAUUUUGUCGAUGAUCUGCUGGUAGUUACUGAAUUUAAGAUACACACCCAUGCUCAGAGAGUAAGUUGCCGGUGAAGGAUGAAAUAAAAAACUCAUUCCAAAGCUUGGGUUGUUUGUAAUAAUAUGUAACUGAUUUCAAUGAAGCCAUUGUAAUAUGAAUACAUUUUUUUCAUUAUACAAGUUUUGUACAGUUUGGACUUUUUGUUUACUGUAUACAUGUAUUAAUUCUUUUUUAAAUUUAAGUUAUACAAGUUUCAUAUAUUUUAUAUACACAGAUUUAGGAACAAUCUUAACAUCAACCAAGAAGAGUCAUGCUCAGGACACUGUUGUUUGAGGAAGGAAGGCCCAGACGUUCUUUAACUGCCUUCUUUUGUCUGGGAUCCUAUUGUCAAAGUGACCAUGUGGGUGACGUCUGCUUUGCUCCAAUAGUAGCCUUUGGUUGACCUAUCAGAGAGUUCCAGAAUUCUCCAGAUUCUCCAACUUGUCCUAUAUUCCACAUUCUAGGGCCUCACAGGAG